rnacentral:lncRNA from 1 species
GGGGUCAUGUAUCAAAAUAACAGGUGUUUUUCUUUCUUUCUUUCUUUCUUUCUUUUUUUUUUUUUUUUUUUGCACUGAUCUGCUCUGUAAUAAAAAAUUGUGGAGUUGUAAAAGGUUUAUGGAAAUCUUACCUUAUGGUCAAACUGAUUAAGAUCGGAUAGAUUAUAUAUAAGGUUUUAUGAAAAAUUGGGUUUAACAUUAUACUAAUGCUAAGGAGAAAUUUGGUUUUCCCAUUUGAAUAAGAUUGUAACAUGGAGAAUAUUGACAGAUAAUGACAGAUUUUUGUUUUAAGUGUUUUUUUUUUUUUUUUUUUUUUUGAGACAGAGUCUCGGCCUGUCGCCCAGGCUGGAGUUCAGUGGCGCGAUCUCGGUUCACUUCAACCUCUGCCUCCCAAGUUCAAGCGAUUCUCCUGCCUCAGCCUCCUAAGCAGCUGGGACUACAGGCAUGCGCCACCACUACAGGCAUGCACCACCAUACCUGUCUAUUUUAUUUUUUGUAUUUUUGGUAGAGAUGGAGUUUCACCCUGUUGCCCAAACUGGUCUCGAACUCCUGGGCUCAAGCAUUCCUCUUGUCUCAGCCUCAAAAAGUGCUAGGAUUACAGGCAUGAGCCAGUGCACUCGGCCUUUGUUUGCCUUUUAGGUAAACUACAGAGAAAAGAAAAGAGGGAAAAGAGAAAAGAAAGAUUCUAUUGGCCUCAUGCUAUCUUUAUUGGGUCUUCUUGUUUGAAACACUGAGACUUCUCUCUGUCAGAGCAAAGGUUUUUGUCUUUUUGACAUUUUUUGAGAUAUUAUUUCAGCUAUAUGAGUCACCUGUUCCUAUAUUGUAAUAUCAAGUAUUUUAAAAUUUGAUAUAUGACAAACCUUCCAAAAUCAAAAUUUCAAGUUCCAAAUUCAGUCCUUUUAACUUCAUUUACCUUUUUUUUUAGCUAUUAGGUCCCCUGAAGCCUAAAAGAGUUAUGCUUGAUUCAUUUCAUGUGUUAAAUUCAUACAGAGAGCAAUGUCAAGUAUAGGAUGGUGUUUGACUUUUUUGGGGGAUGUAUUUGUAUAAAUGUGCUAUUGAUGUAUGUUCCAGAAUUGUGUGAGACUCCAAUAAUUUUAUUUGACUUUGUAUAUAUUAUUAGGAAUAACUAUGAUUAUUAGGGUAAAUUGUUGUAUGCCAGAAAAAUAAGCAAAUUUUUUUUUGUCAAUUGUGUUAUUAACCAUAGGUGGCCUGAGACUGUUACCAUCCACAAUUGUUGUUUUACUUUGAUCCUUUUCAAAAGAUAGUUAUAUUGUCAGCUAUAGAACUCUGACAGGUAGUCUUGAAUGCAGGUGUCUGAUAAGUUUGUAAAGAUUAUGCCAUUGGAAUAGAGGGAAAAACUUCCAGGACUCUCAUGGACAGCUAAUGUGUUCAUGAAUACUGAGCAGAACAGGAGUUAACUGCAUGGGCUGAACUAAUAAAAGAUUGAAAUAAUAUUUUUACAAUUCUUUGCCUGAAGUGUUGCUGAUACUUUUUGUUUCAUCUUUCAGAGUCAAGAAAACUUUUAUUUUCAGCUAUUUACAGCUUUUAACCAUUGAGUAAAGUAUACUUGUGGGCAAAAUGUAAAACACAUUUUUUUCUCUCUAUUUGAUUUCUCAAGAAUUUGAAAAUCAUUUGUGAGUAUUCUUACUUUACAGCAAUAUAGUUAUUUGUAUAAGUUCAAUAAGAAUUUGUUUUCAUUUCUAACAGGAUAAAAUUGGAGACAAAGUUUAUGUUAACCAAGGCUUUGACUGGAAUUACAGGUUUCCCACUGCUUUGAGGAAUUGAUGUUGACUUAGAGAGAUGAUAAUAGCCCCUUAGAGAAACUGGCCUUGUACCUUGUCCCAUACAGGUUUCCUGACCUGUGGUAAGUAAGAAUUGUUACUUUCUGAGAGGCCUAGGAACCCCAAGUUGUUUUGGGACCUCAAGAAGAGAGAAAUUCACCCAAUUCAUGUAAGUAUCUACAGACAUAAAUAAAGCUUCUUUUGGGCUCAAGAGGCUUUUAAAAGGUCUAAUCUGAGAUUUCAUAUGAAGAAAAAUCCAGCACAGCCAAUUUAGAACAAAAAAGCUAAUAUGGCAAGUAAUUAUUCUUGCUGAAUUUUAUGCAAAUAAUCAGGCCAUAUAUAAUAAGGCUGGAACUUAUUUUGCAAAUAAAUGGGUUCUACUGCAAUUUGUCUUUGGUAAAAAUGAGGAGCUGGAGAGACAAAAAUUAUAUUUCAGACAAAACGUAUAGUACACUUGUUGUUGUCCAUUGUUUAUGCGUUUCAGCUGAUGACACUGUAUCUGAUUGGUUCUCAAGGUCAUUCACUUGAACCCCUCAAGGCUUCAGGUCUCAGAUUACAGGUGACAGUAAAGAGAAUCUUGAGCUUCGAAAACAAGGAGUCCUAUCUGCUUGUCUUGCUUACUGAUAAAUUGGCCAUGCGUAGCUCCAUGCCUUAUACGUGGU